UGAGAACGCUCAGGAACAGGGCAGGGGUGACUGAGGAUGCCGUUUCACACAUGACUUGAAAAACAGAAAGCUGCAAGUUAAAGGAUUGUUUGUCAGACCAAGUGAAGACACUGUGUUCCUGUUCCCUUAGCAGCUUGGUGGCUGGACUCCAGAAACAGAGGAAAAAGAUAGGCGAGAGCUGGAAACACCAGGUCAUACCAGAAUACCUCAUAUAGCAGGACCAGCCCUGAGAGCUCCUGCCUGAUUUGGAGGCAGGUGUGAGGAUCUGUUCCAUAGUCUGGAGACAGCCAACGGUGGAGGGACCUAUGGGCACAAAAGUUGGUACCAGUUCAUAUGGAACUUUCCUGGGGCUCCCCAGGCUUUCAGGCUUCACCGCAUUCCAAGACACCUUGACAUGCAGUACCUCCUCUGGAGCCAAGGGCCACGUUCACAGCCUCCAACAAGAGAAUGUUGCUGGGCCUGGAGAGAUGGCUCAGUAGUUAACAGCACUUGCUAUUCUUGCAGAAGACCUGAGUUCAAUCCCUGGCACCUACAUUUGGCAGCUCAUAACUGAAUGUAACCUUCUUCUGAAUUCUGGGGCAACUGUACACAUGUGUAUAUAAAAACAUAAA